UGAGGAAUAUUGGGCAAUGCCCGCAAGGGUGACCCAGCAACGCCGCGUGGAGGAUGAAUGUCGUAAGAUUGUAAACUCCUGUUAGAGGGGAAGAAUAGUACCGGUUGGACCGGUAUAUGACUGUACCCUCAGAGAAAGCCCCGGCUAACUACGUGCCAGCAGCCGCGGUAAUACGUAGGGGGCAAGCGUUGUUCGGAGUUACUGGGCGUAAAGAGUGCGUAGGCGGUUUUCUAAGUUCGGUGUGAAAUCUCCCGGCUUAACUGGGAGGGUGCGCCGAAGACUGGGAAGCUGGAGUGUGGGAAAGGCAGGCGGAAUUCCUGGUGUAGCGGUGAAAUGCGUAGAUAUCAGGAGGAACACCGGCGGUGUAGACGGCUUGCUAGACCAUAACUGACGCUGAGGCACGAAAGCGUGGGUAGCAAACA
rnacentral:rRNA from 1 species